AGUUUGAUCCUGGCUCAGGAUGAACGCUAGCUACAGGCUUAACACAUGCAAGUCGAGGGGAAACGAUAGAGAAAGCUUGCUUUUUCUAGGCGUCGACCGGCGCACGGGUGAGUAACGCGUAUCCAACCUGCCCACCACUUGGGGAUAACCUUGCGAAAGUAAGACUAAUACCCAAUGAUAUCUCUAGAAGACAUCUGAAGGAGAUUAAAGAUUUAUCGGUGAUGGAUGGGGAUGCGUCUGAUUAGCUUGUUGGCGGGGUAACGGCCCACCAAGGCGACGAUCAGUAGGGGUUCUGAGAGGAAGGUCCCCCACAUUGGAACUGAGACACGGUCCAAACUCCUACGGGAGGCAGCAGUGAGGAAUAUUGGUCAAUGGGCGAGAGCCUGAACCAGCCAAGUAGCGUGCAGGAUGACGGCCCUAUGGGUUGUAAACUGCUUUUAUAAGGGAAUAAAGUGAGUCUCGUGAGACUUUUUGCAUGUACCUUAUGAAUAAGGACCGGCUAAUUCCGUGCCAGCAGCCGCGGUAAUACGGAAGGUCCGGGCGUUAUCCGGAUUUAUUGGGUUUAAAGGGAGCGCAGGCGGACCUUUAAGUCAGCUGUGAAAUACGGCGGCUCAACCGUCGAACUGCAGUUGAUACUGGAGGUCUUGAGUGCACACAGGGAUACUGGAAUUCAUGGUGUAGCGGUGAAAUGCUCAGAUAUCAUGAAGAACUCCGAUCGCGAAGGCAGGUAUCCGGGGUGCAACUGACGCUGAAGCUCGAAAGUGCGGGUAUCGAACAGGAUUAGAUACCCUGGUAGUCCGCACGGUAAACGAUGGAUGCCCGCUGUUGGUCUGAAUAGGUCAGCGGCCAAGCGAAAGCAUUAAGCAUCCCACCUGGGGAGUACGCCGGCAACGGUGAAACUCAAAGGAAUUGACGG
rnacentral:rRNA from 1 species